GGGCCCGCACAAGCAGAGGAGCAUGUGGCUUAAUUCGAUGCAACGCGAAGAACCUUACCCGGGUUUGACAUGCAGCUGCACGGCCUGCGAAAGCAGGCCUCCUUCGAGGGUGCUGCACAGGUGCUGCAUGGCUGUCGUCAGUUCGUGCCGUGAGGUGUUUGGUUAAGUCCAGCAACGAACGCAACCCCUGUGUCCAGUUGCCAGCGCGUAACGGCGGGAACUCUGGACAGACUGCCCGUUCACACGGGAGGAAGGUGGGGACGACGUCAAGUCAGUAUGGCCCUUACAUCCGGGGCUGCACACGUGCUACAAUGGCCGGCACAAAGGGAAGCGAGGCCGCGAGGCGGAGCCAACCCCCAAAACCGGCCCCAGUUCAGAUCGGGGUCUGCAACCCGACCCCGUGAAGUCGGAUUUGCUAGUAACGGCGCAUCAGCUACGGCGCCGUGAAUACGUUCCCGGGCCUU
rnacentral:rRNA from 1 species